GCCAGUACUCAGUCCAUCUGGGGUUCCUUAGCAACUUUGUUAUAGUUUCCUAGCAACUGAGUGAAGGAUUAUUGGCUUUUUUAUCCCUUUUCUCAGUGUAGCAGUGCUGGCAUUGGAAAAGGGCAGGGCAUCAGUUUAUCCAUCUGGCCAAACUUGUCUACCAAAGAACUGUUGUCCAUGACUAUUCUUAGGAUCCAAUCCAGGCACAUGAGAGAUGAUGUACUUUUUCACAAAAGGAGAGAAUACUUUCUAAACAGCCAUUUCAUCAGUCAGUGGUGGCAAAAUAGGAAAUGCUGAUGAAGCUCAGACCGAAACCUUUUUCCCCUCCUUCCCUCUUGUCUGUAGUGAAGGUUGGCAAUCAGCAAUAAAACCAUAUUUCUUACAUGGCUCAGUAACUUUCACCCCUCCACACCGGCCAUAUUUCAGCAGAUGAAGUGUUAUAAAUUUCACGUUUCUCUCAAUUCAGCUUUACAAUGAUUUGAGAAAGAAGGUAGAGUGAUUUGGAAAUGUUGUACAGAUGUCAAAAAGAAAAACCUGACAAGCCCUUGAUUGGAUACCACCUGGUGGAAGAUAGAAAAGAGGAGGACAACAACUUACAUUAGAAAAUAAUUGAGAAAGAUACCACUGGUAUGGAAACAGACUAUAACUGAGCAAGAAACAUGUAAUUAGACAUCCUGACGUGGAAAGAAUGGAUUGCUCAUGUCAAAGGCAUGAGAGCAUCUAAUAAAAAAUAAACUUUGAGAGUCCCAAGUCCAGUGAGAGAAGGUCAACUAAUAAUGGUAGUGUCCAUUAGCUUUCUUUGUUGAGGGCAAAA